rnacentral:rRNA from 1 species
GCAACUCGACUACAUGAAGCUGGAAUCGCUAGUAAUCGCGAAUCAGAAUGUCGCGGUGAAUACGUUCCCGGGUCUUGUACACACCGCCCGUCACACCAUGGGAGUUGGGAAUGCCCGAAGCCGGUGACCUAACCGAAAGGGAGGAGUCGUCGAAGGCAGGCUUGAUAACUGGGGUGAAGUCGUAACAAGGUAUC